UACGGAGGUGGCGAGCGUUGUCCGAAGUUACUGGGCGUAAAGCGCGCGUAGGCGGGGGAUUAAGUGAGAAGUGAAAGGCUGGGGCUCAACUCCAUGCAGUGCUUCUCAUACUGGUCUUCUUGAGGGGGGUAGAGAGAAGUGGAAUGGCUGGUGUAGCGGUGAAAUGCGUAGAUAUCAGGAGGAACACCUGCGGUGUAGACGGCUUUCUGGACCAUUGCUGACGCUGAGACACGAAAGCGUGGGUAGCAAACAGG
rnacentral:rRNA from 1 species